CCGCAUAAACGUCUUCGGACCAAAGUGGGGGACCUUCGGGCCUCACGCCAUCGGAUGUGCCCAGAUGGGAUUAGCUAGUAGGUGGGGUAAUGGCUCACCUAGGCGACGAUCCCUAGCUGGUCUGAGAGGAUGACCAGCCACACUGGAACUGAGACACGGUCCAGACUCCUACGGGAGGCAGCAGUGGGGAAUAUUGCACAAUGGGCGCAAGCCUGAUGCAGCCAUGCCGCGUGUGUGAAGAAGGCCUUCGGGUUGUAAAGCACUUUCAGCGAGGAGGAAGGCAURAAGGUUAAUAACCUUUGUGAUUGACGUUACUCGCAGAAGAAG
rnacentral:rRNA from 1 species